UGUAGUGGUGGGUAUAUUUGGGGUAUUUUAAGUGUGUUUGGCAGUAUUGCAGAGUGUUUUAGGUGUUAUAAGUAUGUUUUCAGUGUGCGUUGGAUGUAUUGAGGCAUAUUUGACGUAUCUUGAGUGUGGUGUGGAAGUGUUUGAGUAUUGGCGUGUGUUUUGAGUGUGUUUGGGGGCAUUUUGAGGGGUUAUCAUGUAUUUUGCGACAGUUUUGAGUGUUUGAAGAGCUUUGGGUGUGUGUGGGAGUGAUUUGGGUGUAUAUUGGGUUUUUGUAGUGAGUUGUGUGCGUGUUUGGCAGCCUUUUAAGGUGGUGUAUGGUGUCUCAAGUGUGUUUUAGGACGAUUUGAAGUUGUUUUGGUGUGUGGCGCGUGUGUUGGGUGUGUGUAGAGGCUGUUUUGUUUGCAUUGGGUGUUUCUAGUGAGUUUUGGCUGUUUAUAGAAAAAAUAAAAGAAACACGUAAAAAUAAAGAAAAUAAGGUAAAAGUAAUAAUGUAAAUGAAUACCCGUUGAAAAGGCGGAAUUGUUCAUGCACCACCACAACAAACCGAGGCGGCCCUCCCACCGGCGCUGCCGCCACAACCACCCGCUCUUGUGGCAGGGGCCGGCAGGGACGCGCUGGGACGCAUCCUCUUCACCGACCCACACAAAUACAAGGACGCCAUAUACAAGAGGUGGACACAGCGGGAAAAGAAGAAAAAAGAACUUCAACAUUAGCGGAACAAAGAACGAGAAGAAGUAAGGAGCUUCCGUUGCAACAUCUACAUCUACAUCUACCACUAAUGGCCACCGGGAUACGUGUCUUAUUUAAUGAUUUCCGAGGCCCCUGGCGGUCAUGGAGGGCGGUGAGCAGUGCCUGGGGUCAUGUUGCUUGUGUGGCCGGUGUGAAUGUGACCGGGGGCUUGGCAGGGGUGAUGGGAGGCUUGGCAAGGGUGGCAGGGGGGCGAGGUACAG